rnacentral:rRNA from 1 species
GUAGGGUGCAAGCGUUGCUCGGAAUCAUUGGGCGUAAAGAGCGUGUAGGUGGCUAGGUAAGUCAGAUGUGAAAUCCCUGGGCUCAACCGAGGAAGUGCAUUUGAAACUACCUAGCUCGAGGACGGCAGAGGAAGGUGGAAUUCCUAGUGUAGAGGUGAAAUUCGUAGAUAUUAGGAGGAAUACCGGUGGCGAAGGCGGCCUUCUGGACCGCUCCUGACACUGAGACGCGAAAGCGUGGGGAUCAAACAGGAUUAGAUACCCUGGUAGUCCACGCUGUAAACGAUGGGUACUAGAUGUUGUGGGAAUUGACCCCCGCAGUGUCGUAGCUAACGCGUUAAGUACCCCGCCUGGGAAGUACGGCCGCAAGGUUAAA